rnacentral:lncRNA from 1 species
CAUUCCCAGUGGGUCAGAGGUUUACAUACACUCAAUUAGUAUUUGGUAGCAUUGCCUUUAAAUUGUUUAACUUGGGUCAAACGUUUCGGGUAGCCUUCCACAAGCUUCCCACAAUAAGUUGGCUCAUUCCUCAUGACAGAGUUGGGGUAACUGAGUCAGGUUUGUAGGCCUCCUUGCUCGCACACACUUUUUCAGUUCUGCCCACAAAUUUUCUAUGGGACUGAGGUCAGGGCUUUGAGAUGGCCACUCCAAUACCUUGACGUUGUUGUCCUUAAGCCAUUUUUACCACAACUUUGGAAGUAUGCUUGGGGUCAUUGUCCAUUUGGAAGACCCAUUUGCGACCAAGCUUUAACUUUCUGACUGAUGUCUUGAGAUGUUGCUUAAAUAUAUCCACAUAAUUUCCCUUCCUCAUGAUGCCAUCUAUUUUGUGAAGUGCAGCAGUCCCUCCUGCAGCAAAGCACCCCCACAACAUGAUGUUGCCACCCUCGUGCUUCACGGUUGGGAAGGUGUUCUUUGGCUUGCAAGCAUCCCCCUUUUUCCUCCUCCUUAUUUACAGUUUUUCUCAAUUGUUUACACACAAAUACUGGUACUAGAGACACAAUGAACACAACAUGUAACUCAUGCACCAACCCCCUGAACCAAUUCUGCUAAACUACAAGCACAAUUCCUGCUUUACACUCAAAUUGCAGUUCUAAAACACACUUUUUUCAAAACACUACACACAAUUCUUUGCAUUUGGCACAAUUUUCAUGCAGAAAAUCUCUUGUUUUCACAAUGAACACACUGCCAUUCAAAUACGCACACUGACUCAUCACAUGGGCAAACACCCGUCACACAGUUUUACAAUUAGCAAUCAGAGCUUUAGCAUAAAAGGGCAACAGGUGAGCUCUUCUGUUUUGGAGCAAUGGAUGCCAACAUUGGAAACAGAGGCAGAGCCAGAGGAGUGAGAGUAAGAGGAGGAGGACGGGGAGGACAAGGACGAGGACGAGGACGAGGAAGGCCAAGGACCGUAAUCUCUGAUGAGAUCCGAGCCACUUUGGUUGAUCAUGUGGUCAACCAUGGUCUAACAAUGAGGGAGGCUGGGCAAAGAGUACAGCCAAAUUUGAGCAGGUACACUGUAGCAUCCAUCAUCCGGACAUUCCGAAAUGAGAAUAGAACUGAAAGAUUACCAACACAAGGUGGUCAGGAACGUGUUCCUGUCCUGAACAGGAAACUGAAAUCAUGAACAUGGUCCUAGAAAAUAACACCAUAACAUUACGGCAAAUACAAAGAAAAAUAAUAGAAAACAAUGUGAUAUUUCAAAAUAUUGAUAGGGUAAGCUUAUCAACACUGGACCGUGUCUUGCGCAGAAAUAAUCUCAGGAUGAAGCAGGUCUACAGGGUGCCAUUUGAACGCAAUUCAGAAAGAGUCAAAGAAUUGCGAUAUAACUAUGUGCAAAGAGUCCUUGAGCUAGAGGUGGCUGCAGAGUAGCACCAGUUCAUCUUCAUUGAUGAGGUUGGAUUCAACCUCACAAAAAGACGAAAGAGGGGAAGGAAUAUCAUCGGCCAGCGUGCCAUUGUUCAAGUCCCUGGCCAGCGCGGAGGGAACAUCACAAUGUGUGCAGCGAUUACCCACCAUGGCCUCAUCCAUCACCAUGCUACCCUUGGCCCCUACAACACCGCCCAUCUGAUCACAUUCCUGGACACCCUACACAACACACUCAUUCCACCAGAUCAGGUAGAUGGCCCAGAGCAGCUCAGGUACGUUGUCAUUUGGGACAACGUAAGUUUCCACAGGGCUGCUCUGGUUCGUAACUGGUUCACUGCCCACCCACGCUUUUUAGUUGUUUAACUCCCUCCAUAUUCUCCAUUCCACAAUCCUAUUGAGGAAUUUUUUUCUGCCUGGAGUAGGAAAGUGUAUGACCGAAAUCCACAAACGCGUAUACCUCUUCUCCAAGCUAUGGAAGACGCAUGUGGAGAUAUAGCAGCUGAUGCUUUUCAUGGCUGGAAUCGCCAUGCGAGGCGAUAUUUCCCCCGCUGCUUGGCCAGGGAAAACAUUGCUUGUGAUGUGGAUGAGGUGCUGUGGCCAGACCGCAACAGAAGAAAGGAUGCAGCAUAGUUUUUUGAACUUUUUAAAUUUUUUCACUGUAACUGUAUACAUUCAAUUCUCCUGUUUUGUAGUCAUUAAGUCAUUAUGAUGAAUGGAGAAGAAGUGUUUUCCAUUCAUCAUAGUGUUUUACAUUGAGCACAUCAGUGUUGAACUGGUUCUUAUAAA